rnacentral:lncRNA from 1 species
CAAAAUCUGUUUGUUACCUACACUAAUAGAGAGAUAUUAAAUACUUGACCUGCAGAAAGUUGAACAAACAAUGCUGAGAUAUUAUUAUUUGCACCAUUCUUUGUCUACGUAUUUCCAAGGAUGACCCAAAUUUGAAUUUUGGUAAAAAUGCUGCCAAAUUUAUGUUAAACAAAAAAGUUAUUCCAAAUCAUGUUACUUAAGAGGGCCCUAGAGGUUGUGAAGGGAAACAAAAAGCAUUGAGAGAAAAUCACAAAGUAAAAUAAAAAUUACAAAUAUUUUGCCUUUAGAAAUAGAAAUUUUGAAUCACAGAAAUGUCUAAAUAUGAAAACACAAGAAUAUUUAUGGCAGUAUUUAAAAAUAAUUAAUCUAAGUGCAUAGGUCUGGGGAAUGAGUCACACUAAUGCCGAUGUCCAAUCAAACACUCAGAAGCUAAUAAAAGCAAUGAUCUAAAAUUGCUCUUUUCUGUUUGGUAUAAUUACAGUAUGUUCUUGGUAUAGCAGAAACCUGUGUGUGUGUGUGUGUGUGUGUGUGUGUAGGAAAGCCACACACAAAAUGUUCACGGCCUUUGCUUCUAU